GAAGUAUGGUGUUCAUGAAAGAGCUGCUAACUCUUUUCCUAGCGGUUAAAAUCCGUUAAUAUUUCU
rnacentral:tRNA from 1 species